GACACGGCAGCGGUGGCUGCAGGGAGGGCUCGAGCGACGGUGGAGGCUGGACGCCAGGACCUGCUCUAGAAAGUUCCAGACCAAGGGAGAAAGCUGCGGCAUGCAAGCAGCAAGAAGGCGGCGACACGGAGACGGAAGAGUGCGUCCUGGCAUGGUCGUCAUCUUCCAGGUGUAUGAUACUUUUCCUUUUCAGGUGUUCCUUGUGAGGUAUUGGCCCGAGGUGUGUGGAAUUUGAAGGAAUAAAUUAUGGGCUGCCACCUGCCUUCUCUACUUCCUCCUCCCUUGAACUAUUGUAACUGCAGCAAUGGGGCACACAUGGGGACGACAUUAUUCAGUUGAAGGAGUCACUCCGAACCUCGAUGUGAUGCCCGGUGGUUCGUCCAUCUGGAGAGUCACAUUAACCCUGCACUGGUAGCAUCUCUCUUUCCUGCAUAUCUCCCAUAUCCUCCUUAAUUUGUUUGUGUAAUGAAAGCUGGAUUUGGACAUUCAUGAUUUGUUUAUCCAAUCAAUGCCUUGAUCUAAAAAUGGAAUCAGACCAGGUCACUUUUUAUAUCCUGGUAAACCGCUUUGUUCCAUUUGUUUUACUUUUCUCCAAGGUGCCAAAAUCUUAGCUGUUAACUGCAUUUAAAUUGGACAAGCAAGAAAUGAUUUGAUUGAUAUAUUUCUAUGGGCUUACUAAUGGUUAUAAAUAAAGCUGUGAUGUCAUCUUGGAAAUCUUGAAUUCUUGAUCUAUUCUUUCUCUACUGGAUAAUAAUAAGGGGGUAUUACUGAGUAAUCCACACCCGGAGGUUUACAUAAUCGGAAAUUUUUAUAACAUAAACGUUGAAUUAGUUUGCAUUUUCCUUGAAAUUUUCCCACUCUUGGCCUUUUACGAAGUGUCAUUUAACAUCUUAGGUGCGGUGCGAGAUGAGAGUUGUACCUUCGCCGCGUCGAUGGGAGGCAGCGCUGUCUCACACAGUCAACAUCGGUGCAGCCAUUGCCCGAAGCAGUGCCGACACAUGUUGUUGAUGUUGUUAUCGCCGGGAUCAACGCCGCCUCACGCCGCAUGCAGCAUCGUCGAGAGUCCACGGCUUGCAUCGGCCCAAAUUGCUAGAUAAAAUUUUGUGAUGCUUUCAUUUGUUCAUCUCUAAAUCCACUCCAUCAGGCAAUGACUCCCUUGCAGCCCAAUAUUUAUUUCAGAAAUUUAUGCGUAAAGUUUGUUUGUCAUAAUUCAUGAUUUGCUGAAGCUGGGAUGUAUUUCUUCCGGAUGCACAGCAGGUCACCAGCACUUAACCCAUAGUAUAUUGGUAACAUUCUCAUGGUACUUCUAUUUAAAGAUUGUUCAGACUGGUUUAUAUUAGUAAUUAAGCGCUUGGACUUGGAGCAAUGGCCAAUGAGAUGGGCAACACCAUGGUUAUUGUUCAGAAAGGUAUGCAUGUUGCUGAAUUCUAUAUGCUAUCUAGGAAUUAGUCUAAAAAAAUUCCUCACUAUCAUAUGCAACUUUAGCAUCAGAGGAGAGUGCUAAGGGUUAUGGAAAACCAUGCACCCUUCAGAUUGCUCACCUGGGCUCAACAAUAUAAAUUAUGAGAACAUUGUUGAUUAUAGUACACAAUUUAUUUGACAAGGAAGUUGCUAAAUGUUCAGUGCUUUAGUGAUGAGAAAUGCCAGUGUAUUGGUUACAUUUUUCUCAUAAUUAUUCUAUAAGAAAAUUGGUAAUUGUUCGAUCCGGCACGUUUCACUCUGUUGUGGAAAAAAAAUCAUUUAUCAUCUGGUUGUGCUUACAGGAUGUGAUAUUCAACUCCUUACAACAGCAUGUUUCCAACAUCUGGCCUCUUUGCUGGUAAAAAUAACAAACUACAAAUAUCACCUUAUUGCACCCGAUAUUUUAUUGUUGUUCUUUGUAAGCUACUCAAUUCUUCAUCUUUGUAAGCUACCCAAUGUUUAAUUUCUGGUUUGCUCCAUCUCUGACUUGUCUGAUUACCAUGGAACUGAUGCUCGGACAUAGCUAAGGAGAAAAUACAUGCCCAAAACAGUCGGUCCUUAUUUUACUAUAAUAAUCACUUCAUAUGAGAUGGCCAUGUAAUUCGAAGUUUCUUGUAAAUGGAAGUAUGUUGCAGAUGAGGGGCAUCGGUUGAAAAAUACAAAGUAAUAAUUAUUGAGGGGAUUUAGGCGCAUUCCAAUGGAUAACAAGCUCCUUUUGACUGGAACACCUCUUCAGAAUAACCUAGCACAUGCCAUCAAGAAUUUGACUCAUGUACUGCCUGCUAUUUGUGGCUUUCUUUGCUUCUAUUGAUGUACGGAUAAAGGAAUAAGGAGAGGAAACCAAAUGAGAGGCUUCUUUAGCAGUUGACCGCUCCAUCUCUCUUCCUCUCUCCUCAGCUUAGCAGUUGGCAUUCAUCUCAGUGUGUUAUUAUUUCUUGAGGGUGCAAAGAGCUAAGGUUGGCUAAAAUUCAUGAAGUGCCAUGGUGUUCUGCCUGGUUUGGUUGUCCAUGUCAACGUGCAAUUUGAAGAUCAGAUCGCCACUCUCUGUGGAACAAGUUAAGAAUAAUUACGCUGCUUCCGUGACAUCUAUAGGCAGCAAAAAGAUUGUCAGUUGUUGUACCAGGUCGGUAAGUACGCCGACAAGAACCCCAAUUCUGCCAACUGUGUUGAGGGAGCCCUUAGCCUACGUGGCUGGCUGUAAUCCAAGGGACAUCACAUACUGUAACGAACGACAAGGAGGGGCUGAGGAGUGGUGCAAACUGAUCUGAACCAAGAAUUGACUUUGAUGCAUGAACAUUGAACAUGUACAAGAUGGCAGGUCAUGGUCUUAUCAAUACGAGGGUGCUGAAAACAAAAAAAAAUGGAUAGAGCGUCACAGCUCCUCUCAAGUGGAGAGCUCCUCCGUGCCAGACCUGGCUGGGCACGGCUGGGCACAGGUCGUGCUAUUUGGAUUCUUCGACUUUGAGUCACAUCACAUAUCGCCAUCUCACCUUUUCUUCCAUAUCUUUAUGCGUCUUUUCUUAAUUUUUCCCUAAUAUUUUGGUCACACUUGUGCCAAUGGAUGGGGUAUGGCAAUACUAUUCUUAUUAUUCUAAGCUGGCAUGCUGAUUUCAUUCAUCCUACUAUUGAUUAAACAUGACAAGUUGAGUCAAGAAGUAGAUGUUAUUUGGUGUGCUCUACUCAUUUUCAUUUAUCAUGUUGUUGUCAAGGCCUAACAAUUCGAAACUUUGCUACAUAUGAGGGUAAGUAAAUCAGGGCUUGCUAUAUCUGAAUAUGCUAUGGAAAAAGGAAAUGAUGAUAACUUUUUUGAUGGCACGGUGUUAGUUCUGAAAGAUCAAUUGGAAGUGUUUCAACAAGAGGACGGUCUGCUCCUACUUUUUAAAAUGAGAUGUUAGUUAGGAUACAAACAAGCUGAUUAAGAUGACCAGUUUUUCCCUAUAUGUGGAUACAAAUGUUUGUGGAAAACCUGUGACAGCUGAUAUUCUUGGUAGUUUGAUAUAUCCUAGGAAUCCUGUAAUACUAAUCUUGGUAUGUCAUUUUGGGAAGAAAAUUAAUUGAGAACUUUGAAAUAAUUCUUCUUCAAACAUACACUAUAUUUCUUAUGUUUGAUUUUUCAUAUUCUUUCCCUGCUUAACUUCUCUGAUUAUUUUUAGGCAACCUCGGUAAGUAGACAUUGUCCUAGAACUGAUAAUAUUUAUAUUUUAGGUCUAAGAUUCUGUUUAUGAAAUCAGGGUGAUAAGUUGAUAACACAUUUAUUCAAUGUACAGGGACUCUUCGUAUUGUCAGGUAACUCCUGUUUUUGAUGCAGUCUUAAAGAAUCUUAUCUGGCAUUGAUAUACUGAAUAGUUCCACAUGCACUUCUGAUAAUGUAAAAAUGAAGGGAAGUUUUACUGCUAUUGUUGUACAGUGUACCACAAGUUUGUUACAACUUAUUGUCUUGGUGGUUUCUAAAUAGCAUACUUGGUUUUCUUAAAUUGGUCUACUUUACUUACCGGUGCUUAUAAGAUGAUGAAAUUACUAUGUAAAUACCAUUGGCAAGAUAACAUUUUCGACAGGAGAUGAUAUCUAAGUAUUUCAUGAGUUAUAUUGGAACUUAAGCUGUACAGAACUCUAGCGACAAUUCUAUUGCAUCUCUUUUUCAGCUAAAUGGUCAUGUUGGCAUCUUCUAUCUAUUUAAUCAGACUGAAUAAUUAAAAAAAUCGGUUGUUAUGCGAAAUAUCAUUUCCAUGCUUUCACAACUAUUGCUUCACUAUGCCCCUAUGCAUUUAACCCUUUCAUUGCCUGUAACUAAGUUUGCUCUCUUCCCUUGAUUUCCUACUUCUAACAGCAGCAAUUCAAAAUGAGAGAAACUUUACAUCUCUAGCAUUGGAACAUUUUGUUUUUAAUGGUGUUUCUUGACUAUUUACUUUGAUGCUGUCUCUUAGUGCUCCAGAAGACUAGGUAAUAUUUGUUUAUUUCUUUUCAGUUUAUGCUAUGCAUCUUUCCUAGAUAGGCUACACAUAUAUUGAACCAGAUAGAACUUUGUUUUAAAAUUUGUACUAUUAUAAUUCUCCUCUUUUUUGGUGGUUACUGGCGUCAUAUUGAACAAUCAUGCACUAAUGAACAUCCAUUUGUCUUUGAUGUGUAUAUUUGGCGGCAAUGAUUGUGUGAAACUUUCA